GAGAGAGAGAGAGAACGAGAGAAGAGAAGGGAUGGGAAGGCAGAGAGAGAAAGAAGACUGAAGGGAAGGAGGUGAAAUCUGUGAGAACAGUGCUGCACAACUGCGUUUCUGUCCUCAAUGAGUGUACACUGAAAUAACAACAGGGGUUUUCAAGAUAGCCAAUAGCGUUGACUACAUUAUCUAGUGACACAGCUGAUUUCCCUUCUAAAGUCGAGACAUGGAAAGGACCGAGAACAAAGUGUCCACCAUCUCCCCGCAAAAACAGACAGUAAAAAAUAGAUCCAAGUCCACAGAGGAGGUACAGCAAGCCAAAAAGGCCUUUCAUACACCACAAAAAUCUCUUCCGGCUAAACCAGAAACCGAACAACUAGAGGAGACCUCAGAGCUGAGUGCCUCAUCGGAGGAGUUCAAAUGAUUGCUGGAUUCAAACUUCGGGGCUGAGAUUUAGACAGAUCAACUGGAAUUAUGGGUAAUAAUAAGAGGAUGAUUCAGUGUCUCCGUUUAUAAAAUUGUGACUCAGCUUUACUUAGUUAGCAUAGAAGAAAACAAUAAUCAUGUGUAGCUUCUUGAAUUUGUCUGGUAAUGUUUGUUAAAUAAAUGCACAACUGGAUAUCACAGUGAAUUGUGUAUGUGAUUCAUAUUAGCAGGUUCAUACAGUAUACAGUUGUAGUGACUUGUAAAUCAUCAAUUAAAUUUGUAAAACUAAAUUCAA